GUCUUCGAUGGCUCAGUCGUAUAGAGCGUCUGCCUCCUAAGUAGGAGAUCCCAGGUUCGAAUCCCGGUCGGGGCA